rnacentral:lncRNA from 1 species
UUUUUAAAAAAAAAGUAAUUUUUCUAUUUUUUUUUCCAAAUUUUAUAAAAAAUAUAGCAUUUUUUCUUUUCUAAAUUUUUUAUCCAAAAUAUAAAGGGUAAACUUCAAAUACCCCUCAUAAUUUCACACUUUCUCACUUUAGUACCUUAUGAUUUAAAGUGUAUUAAUUUAGUAUUAUGUGGUUUCCCACUUUCUCACUUUAGUACUAUGUGGUUUAAAGUGCAUCAAGUUAGUACCAUGUGGUUUUAUUUUUCUCUUUUUAUUAUUUAUUUCACUAAUUUUUUUCGUUAAAUCGGUAACAAAGUUAAAACUAAAAGGUACUAAAGUGAAUAUUCGAUAAGCCUAGUAGGGUAUCUGAAGUUUUUUUUAUAUAUAAUUUAACGAAAUAUUAACAGAGGAAAAAAAAAUCAGUGACAAAGUUAAAACUAAAGAGUACUAAAGUAAAUAUUCGAUAAACUUAGAUAGAAUAUUUGAAGUUUUUUGUAUAUAAUUUAAUAAAAUAUAAACAGAGGAGCCAACGAAAAAAGAAAAAUAAAAUCACAUGGUACUAAAUUAAUGCACUUUAAACCACAUGGUAAUAAAAUGAGAAAAUGCGAAACCGCAAGAUACUAAAUUAAUACACUUUAAAUCACAGAAUAUUAAAGUGAAAACAUACGAAAUCAUAGCAGUGGUACUUAAAAUUUUUUCUUAAAAAAAAUGAAAAAAAAUUACAAAAAUCGCUUUUUAAAAUA